CAGGAUUCCCUUAGUAAUGGCGAAUGAGCAGGGGAAAGCUCAGUGUGGAAAUUGGGGCCUGCGGCCUUGAAUUGUAGUCUAGAGAUGUGCUGCCAACGGAGGUGCAUAUGUAAGCCUCUUGGAAAAGAGCAUCAAUGAGGGUGAGAGUCCUGCUUGUCACUUGCAGUCCCCCGUGCACGGUGUACUUUCCCAGAGUCACGUUCCUUGGGAUUGGAGCGCAAAGUGGGUGGUAAAUAUCAUCUAAAGCUAAAUAUUGGUUUGAGACCGAUAGCAAACAAGUACCAUGAGGGAAAGGUGAAAAGGACUUUGAAAAGAAAGUUAAAAGUGCCUGAAAUUGCUGAAAGGAAAGCGAAUGGGACCAGUGCUUCUUGGCAAGAUUGCUGUGCACGAAUGUGAUUGCCUGCUGCUGCAAUGCAAAUGUGGCAGUGGGUUUUGAUCUGGUUGUGCGCAGUGGUUCUUGCCUUGCCUGUCAAUGUCAAUGUGCAAUCGAGAAAAACAUGGAGGACAUGACAACUUGCCCUUGGGCGAGUGAAUGUUCUUUCCUGAACUCAUUUUGUGCAUUGUUUGCGCGUGUCUUGUUUCAGUGUUCUGUGCCUCAUUACAUCAAUGUUGAUGUAACGUUGUCGGAGCACAUACUUGACACAACAAUGAUGACAAAAUGGUUCUAUUCGACCCGUCUUGAAACACGGACCAAGGA
rnacentral:rRNA from 1 species